UUGACUUUGAAUGAAAUCAGUUUGUAAACUUAACUUUUUCCUCUGUCUGUUUUCCUUUCUUUCAUGAGUUGUGGAAUGCAUCCGAACACGUGAGUUGCCAAUUUACAUAGGUCGGUUAGGACGUUCGGCAACCCACGCCGCCACGAAGGUAGGGCAAGUCCCGACUUUCAAUCGGCCUUUGAUAGUCAAGGUCGUCAGUCGGGCGCGUCCGUUGAGUCGGGAGCCGACCGACCGUGGUAAAGGUUCGGUAGUCGGGUCCCCUUUGACGCGUUCAGUCGAAUGUCGUCCGGCGCAUUCGGUCGAGGGAGCACCGAUAAGUCGGACCCCGAUUCCC
rnacentral:lncRNA from 1 species